AAAAUUUGGGGAAAAUUUGGGGAAAUUUGGGGAAAAAUUCCCGCCCCCACCCAAAAGAAAAACUCCAAAAUUUGGAUUUUUUUUAAAUAUUUUUAUUGCAGCGAGAAAAAGCAGAAACGACCGCGAGCGGAAAAUCCGAAUUUUCAUUAUUACGUAAUUAAUCCUAAUUAAUUGUAAUGAAUUAAUUAAAUUUAUGUCAUAAAAAAUGUAGAAAAGGGAAAAAAAAAAGGGAUUUUUUUUUGGGGCAAAAAAAAGGAAAAAAUUCAAUUUUUUCCCAUUAAAAAAUGACCAAAAAUUGAAUUUUUUUGCCCAAUAAAAAAAUGAUCAAAAAUUGAUUUUUUUUUUUUUCCAAUUAAAAAAUGUUUAAAAAUGAAAAAAAUUUGAAUUUUUUUUCCUAAUUAAUUGGGAAACAAAAUCAAUUUUUGGUCGUUUUUUUAUUGGGCAAAAAAUUCAAUUUUUUCAAUAUUUUUUUGGGGUAAAAAAUUCCAUUUUUUUUUUCCCAAUUAAAAACCAUUAAAAAAAAAAUUGAAUUUUUUUUUUUAUCAAUUUUGACCUUUUUCACCUUAAAAAAAAAAAAAAAAUCCGAAUUUUAUCCACCAAAAUCACGGAAAUAUUUCGAUUUUUGGGACAAAAAAAUUGCGAUUUUUGGAUAGAAAUCUAUACAUUUAAUCUAUAGAAAAGUGAAUUUUUUAGGGAAUAAAUUCCAUUUUUUGGGAAGAUUUUUGGGAAUUUUUUAAAUUCCGAUUUGGGUCCAGAAGGGUUAAAAAUGUGAAAUUUUUUUUGAGGCGAAAAUUGGAUUUUUUAGGUCAAAAAUUUGAAUUUUUUGGGUCAAAAAUUUGAAUUUUUGGGGUUAAAAAAUCGGCUUUUUUAGGGGUUUUAAAAUCGAAUUUUUUUCGGGUUUUUAAAUUGGAUUUUUGGGGUUUAAAAUUUAAUUUUUUGGGGUCAAAAAAUUGGGGUUUUUGGGGUUAAAAAUCAGAUUUUUUGGGGUCAAAAAUUGGGGUUUUUGGGGUUAAAAAUUGGAUUUUUUUGGGAUUUAAAAUUGGAUUUUUUGGGGACAAAAACCACGUUUUAAAUCGGAUUUUUUUCGCUUUAAAAUUUGAAUUUUUUGGGACACGAAGCGGAUUUAAAACCGAAUUUUUUUUGGGAUUUAAAAUUGGAUUUUUUGGGACUAAAAAUGGGUUUUUUUGGGAUCUAAAAUCGGAUUUUUUCGGAAUAAAAAACAGAUUUAAAAUCGGAUUUUUUUGGGAUUUAAAACGAUAUUUUUGGGGAUAAAAAGUGGAUUUAAAAUUGGAUCUUUUUGGGGGAAAAAACGUGUUUAAAAUCAGAUUUUUUUUAUUUUAAACCAGAUCUUUUUGAGAUUAAAAACCGCAUUUAAAAUCGGAUUUUUUCCCUUUCAAAUUUGUCCCCAAAAAUUCCCAUUUUUUCCCCCCAAAAUUCCCAAAUUUUUCCCAAAAAAUACCUAAUUUUAUCCCAAAAAAUACCUGAUUUUAUCCCAAAAAAUACCUGAU
rnacentral:lncRNA from 1 species